rnacentral:rRNA from 1 species
GACGAACGCUGGCGGCGUGCUUAACACAUGCAAGUCGAACGGAAAGGCCCUGCUUUUGUGGGGUGCUCGAGUGGCGAACGGGUGAGUAACACGUGAGUAACCUGCCCUUGACUUUGGGAUAACUUCAGGAAACUGGGGCUAAUACCGGAUAGGAGCUCCUGCUGCAUGGUGGGGGUUGGAAAGUUUCGGCGGUUGGGGAUGGACUCGCGGCUUAUCAGCUUGUUGGUGGGGUAGUGGCUUACCAAGGCUUUGACGGGUAGCCGGCCUGAGAGGGUGACCGGCCACAUUGGGACUGAGAUACGGCCCAGACUCCUACGGGAGGCAGCAGUGGGGAAUAUUGCACAAUGGGCGGAAGCCUGAUGCAGCAACGCCGCGUGCGGGAUGACGGCCUUCGGGUUGUAAACCGCUUUCGCCUGUGACGAAGCGUGAGUGACGGUAAUGGGUAAAGAAGCACCGGCUAACUACGUGCCAGCAGCCGCGGUGAUACGUAGGGUGCGAGCGUUGUCCGGAUUUAUUGGGCGUAAAGGGCUCGUAGGUGGUUGAUCGCGUCGGAAGUGUAAUCUUGGGGCUUAACCCUGAGCGUGCUUUCGAUACGGGUUGACUUGAGGAAGGUAGGGGAGAAUGGAAUUCCUGGUGGAGCGGUGGAAUGCGCAGAUAUCAGGAGGAACACCAGUGGCGAAGGCGGUUCUCUGGGCCUUUCCUGACGCUGAGGAGCGAAAGCGUGGGGAGCGAACAGGCUUAGAUACCCUGGUAGUCCACGCUGUAAACGGUGGGUACUAGGUGUGGGGUCCAUUCCACGGGUUCCGUGCCGUAGCUAACGCUUUAAGUACCCCGCCUGGGGAGUACGGCCGCAAGGCUAAAACUCAAAGGAAUUGACGGGGCCCCGCACAAGCGGCGGAGCAUGCGGAUUAAUUCGAUGCAACGCGUAGAACCUUACCUGGGUUUGACAUGGAUCGGGAGUGCUCAGAGAUGGGUGUGCCUCUUUUGGGGUCGGUUCACAGGUGGUGCAUGGCUGUCGUCAGCUCGUGUCGUGAGAUGUUGGGUUAAGUCCCGCAACGAGCGCAACCCUUGUUCACUGUUGCCAGCACGUUAUGGUGGGGACUCAGUGGAGACCGCCGGGGUCAACUCGGAGGAAGGUGGGGAUGACGUCAAGUCAUCAUGCCCCUUAUGUCCAGGGCUUCACGCAUGCUACAAUGGCUGGUACAGAGAGUGGCGAGCCUGUGAGGGUGAGCGGAUCUCGGAAAGCCGGUCUCAGUUCGGAUUGGGGUCUGCAACUCGACCUCAUGAAGUCGGAGUCGCUAGUAAUCGCAGAUCAGCAACGCUGCGGUGAAUAAGGUCCCGGG